rnacentral:snoRNA from 1 species
UCCCUCUAGAUUCCUUAUCCAUCAAAUCUAAAUAGUGAUUUUAGUGUAUUUAAAAAUAAAGAGGAUCAAAAGUAAAAUUGAAAUGGACGUGGAGUCUUUAGUGACAGACAUGGUCAUCUCAAACAAUA